rnacentral:rRNA from 1 species
UACGUAGGGUGCAAGCGUUAUCCGGAAUUAUUGGGCGUAAAGAGCUCGUAGGCGGUUUGUCACGUCUGCUGUGAAAACUGGAGGCUCAACCUCCAGCCUGCAGUGGGUACGGGCAGACUAGAGCGCGGUAGGGGAGAUUGGAAUUCCUGGUGUAGCGGUGGAAUGCGCAGAUAUCAGGAGGAACACCGAUGGCGAAGGCAGAUCUCUGGGCCACUACUGACGCUGAGAAGCGAAAGCAUGGGGAGCGAACAGG